rnacentral:rRNA from 1 species
UGGGGAAUAUUGCACAAUGGGCGAAAGCCUGAUGCAGCAACGCCGCGUGAGUGAUGAAGGUCUUCGGAUUGUAAAGCUCUGUCUUUUGGGGCGAUAAUGACGGUACCAAAGGAGGAAGCCACGGCUAACUACGUGCCAGCAGCCGCGGUAAUACGUAGGUGGCGAGCGUUGUCCGGAUUUACUGGGCGUAAAGGGUGCGUAGGCGGAUGUUUAAGUGAGAUGUGAAAUACCCGGGCUUAACUUGGGUGCUGCAUUUCAAACUGGAUAUCUAGAGUGCAGGAGAGGAGAAUGGAAUUCCUAGUGUAGCGGUGAAAUGCGUAGAGAUUAGGAAGAACACCAGUGGCGAAGGCGAUUCUCUGGACUGUAACUGACGCUGAGGCACGAAAGCGUGGGUAGCAAACAGGAUUAGAUACCCUGGUAGUCCACGCCGUAAACGAUGAGUACUAGGUGUAGGAGGUAUCGACCCCUUCUGUGCCGCAGUAAACACAUUAAGUACUCCGCCUGG